AGUGCUGCUAAAUGUGAUAUUUAUAAGUGGCUCAACUUUGCGUCAUCAAGGAAGAUCGAAGACCUUAAAUUAGACUUCUCAGUCGAAGUAAGGUGGUCGGAGAAUAUAAGACUCCCCCACUAAACUUUUAAGCACUUCGCUCAAGGGUCUCAAAAGUUGACUCUAAAUAGAGUUUGUAUGGACUAUCAGGCAAUUGAAACAUUAAUAUCGAGAUGCCCCCUUCUUGAACUGUUAUAAAUCACAAAGGGUUAUCAAAUAGUACACUUGAAAGUUGUUGCUCCUUCCCUCAAGUUGAAGCAUUUGGUGAUACGGCUUUGCCCUAUGGAAUUCAUGGAGAUCCGUAAUGUUAAUCUUGUCUCCUUUAUAUUUAGGGGAUCAACAAAAAAUUUGGUUCUUGAGAAUGUUUCUUCAAUUCUUAAUGUUGAUAUUAGUAUUAUCACAUGUGGAUUUCUAUAUAAACUUUCUCCCAAGAUUACAACAAAUUUCACCCAAUUGGCGAUGCUCUGACUUGAAGAUCAUAAAGAAACAAUGGGUCGACAUUCACAUUGAUUUGAUAUUCAAUUCCACCCUUUUGGCCAGAGAAGUUUUUGCUUCACAAAAAAUAUGAAAUUUCGUUAAAAAAAUGUAAAGCAAAGAAAUCAAUACCACAAUUAUCCUUAGCCCCUCGGUUGGCGAGCCAAACUAUUUACCCCAAUAAAAGGUAUCGUUGAAUUUUUUUACUAAGGUUUGAGGGAUAAGAGGUGUUUUCAGUCGGGCGUAGCAAAGUAAAGUGUAAUGUUGUAAAGUAAGAAAAAUCAAUGUAAAUUAUAAGUGAAACAAUGGACUGAUAGAGUUGAAGCUGAGAUGAGCCAGGAGAUUGUAAAGGAUCGUCAGUAGCCUGACGAAUAUCUAGCAAAAACAAUAGCUAAAGACACAAUAUCUGAGAUUGUUUUAAAUUUGUUGAAUAGUAAUAAAAGAGAAAUAUCAUUCUUAUAA